rnacentral:rRNA from 1 species
UGGGGAAUAUUGGACAAUGGGCGAAAGCCUGAUCCAGCCAUGCCGCGUGUGUGAAGAAGGUCUUCGGAUUGUAAAGCACUUUAAGUUGGGAGGAAGGGCAGUAAAUUAAUACUUUGCUGUUUUGACGUUACCGACAGAAUAAGCACCGGCUAACUCUGUGCCAGCAGCCGCGGUAAUACAGAGGGUGCAAGCGUUAAUCGGAAUUACUGGGCGUAAAGCGCGCGUAGGUGGUUCGUUAAGUUGGAUGUGAAAUCCCCGGGCUCAACCUGGGAACUGCAUUCAAAACUGACGAGCUAGAGUAUGGUAGAGGGUGGUGGAAUUUCCUGUGUAGCGGUGAAAUGCGUAGAUAUAGGAAGGAACACCAGUGGCGAAGGCGACCACCUGGACUGAUACUGACACUGAGGUGCGAAAGCGUGGGGAGCAAACAGGAUUAGAUACCCAAGUAGUCCCUGAGCGGGCUGGCAAGGCGCAU